AAUAUUGGAUAAUGGGGGCAACCCUGAUCCAGCCAUGCCGCGUGUGUGAAGAAGGUCUUCGUAUCGUAAAGCACUUCAAGUUGGGAGGAAGGGCUGUAGGCGAAUACCUUGAAGUCUUUAGGUUACCACCAGAAUAAGCACCGGCUAACUCUUUCCCAGCAGCCGCGGUAAUACAGAGGGUGCAAGCGUUAAUCGGAAUUACUGGGCGUAAAGCGCGCGUAGGUGGUUCAGUAAGAUGGGUGUGAAAUCCCCGGGCUUAACCUGGGAACUGCUUUCAUAACUGCUGAGCUAGAGUACGGUAGAGGGUAGUGGAAUUUCCUGUGUAGCGGUGAAAUGCGUAGAUAUAGGAAGGAACACCAGUGGCGAAGGCGACUACCUGGACUGAUACUGACACUGAGGUGCGAAAGCGUGGGGAGCAAACAG
rnacentral:rRNA from 1 species